GUGAAUCAUCGAAUCUUUGAACGCACCUUGCGCUCCUUGGUAUUCCGAGGAGCAUGCCUGUUUGAGUGUCAGUAAAUUCUCAAACCCUCAGCUUUUGUUGUUGGGCUUGGAUGUGGAGGCAUUGCUGGUCUGUUAAAGAUCAACUCCUCUGAAAUGCAUUAGCGGAACAGUUUGCGAUCUGUCAUAGGUGUGAUAAUUAUCUACGCCAGUGGGUUGCUCUCUUGUUCAGCUGCCAAUUGUCUACAUUGGACAAACUAUUAUUGACUAUUUGACCUCAAAUCAGGUAGGACUACCCGCUGAACUUAAGCAUAUCAAUAAGCGGAGGA
rnacentral:misc_RNA from 1 species